GGGUCAGUAGGGUGGUCGUGCCACCGGUACGUACUGGUCUCACUGAUUCCUCCUUCCUGAAGAACCGUAAUGCCAUUCAUUUGGUGUUGCGGGGAAACAGGACUGUUACUUUGAAAAAAUUAGAGUGUUUAAAGCAAGCUAACGCUUGAAUACAUUAGCAUGGAAUAAUGAAAUAGGACGAUCGAUCCUAUUUUGUUGGUUCCUAGGAUUGACGUA
rnacentral:rRNA from 1 species